rnacentral:rRNA from 1 species
GAAGUCAAUUAUUACUUAAUAUAUACAUGCAAGUAUCAGCUCCCCUGUGAAAACGCCCUUCAACCCCCAUUAGGAACAAGGAGCCGGUAUCAGGCACUAUAUAUGCCCAAGACACCUAGCUUUGCCACACCCACAAGGGAUUUCAGCAGUAAUUAACAUUGAAUAUAAGCGCAAGCUUGAUUCAGUUAAAGUAUAACAGAGCCGGCCAAUCUGGUGCCAGCCGCCGCGGUUACACCAUGUGGCUCAAAUUGACCCCUUCCGGCGUAAAGCGUGAUUAAAGUUAUUUUCUAAUAGAGUUAAAUUAAGACUAAGCUGUGACACGCUUGUUUUUAAGAAAUUCCCAAACGAAAGUUACUCUAAUUUAACCAACUUGAAU